GGCAAGGUGGCCGAGCGGUCUAAGGCGCCAGGUUCAGGCCCACUUGAACUUAACUCUUAGAGUUAUUCCUGGUCUCGCAAGAGGCGUGGGUUCGAAUCCCACCCUUGUCA